rnacentral:rRNA from 1 species
UACGAAGGGUGCAAACGUUGCUCGGAAUCACUGGGCUUAAAGCGCGUGUAGGCGGCCCGGCACGUCAUUGGCUGAAAUCCCCCGGCUCAACCGGGGAAGGGGCCGUGAUACGACCGGGCUGGAGGGGGGUAGGGGGGACGGGAACUCACGGUGGAGCGGUGAAAUGCGUUGAGAUCGUGAGGAACGCCCGCGGCGAAAGCGCGUCCCUGGACCCCACCUGACGCUGAGACGCGAAAGCCAGGGGAGCGAACGGG